rnacentral:ncRNA from 1 species
GGAGGUUGUCUGGCCCUUCGAGGUCGCCCUGCGGAGGGAGGCUUCAAACCACCCGCCGCCGCAUUGGUUGAAGACCGUUGUGGUGAACGGCGCGGGAAAAGUCGGGGCUCGACCCCGGCAGGU